AACCUGCGGAAGGAUCAUUAUCGUGGGGCUCCGGCCCUGUCGAGAUAGAACCCUUGCCUUUUGAGUACCGUCCGUUUCCUCGGCAGGCCCGCCUGCCAAUGGGGACCCCCAUAAACCCUUUUAUGUACCUGUAUCAGUCUGAAAAACAAACAAAAGUUAAAACUUUCAACAACGGAUCUCUUGGUUCUGGCAUCGAUGAAGAACGCAGCGAAAUGCGAUAAGUAGUGUGAAUUGCAGAAUUCAGUGAAUCAUCGAAUCUUUGAACGCACAUUGCGCCCUUUGGUAUUCCUUAGGGCAUGCCUGUUCGAGCGUCAUUUGGAAACUCAAGCUCAGCUUGGUGUUGGGUGUCUGUCUCCGCCCCGCGGGGACUCGCCUCAAAAGCAUUGGCGGCCGGUACGUUGGCUUCGAGCGCAGCAGAAACGCGAACUCGGGGCUGGCGGAUCGGCGACCAGAAGUAUCUUCUUUACAGCUUGACCUCGGAUCAGGUAGGGAUACCCGCUGAACUUAAGCAUAUCAAUAAGCGGAGG
rnacentral:rRNA from 1 species